rnacentral:rRNA from 1 species
GACGAACGCUGGCGGCGUGCCUAAUACAUGCAAGUAGAACGCUGAAGGAGGAGCUUGCUCUUCUGGAUGAGUUGCGAACGGGUGAGUAACGCGUAGGUAACCUGCCUGGUAGCGGGGGAUAACUAUUGGAAACGAUAGCUAAUACCGCAUAACAGUAGAUGUUGCAUGACAUUUACUUAAAAGGUGCAAUUGCAUCACUACCAGAUGGACCUGCGUUGUAUUAGCUAGUUGGUGGGGUAACGGCUCACCAAGGCGACGAUACAUAGCCGACCUGAGAGGGUGGUCGGCCACACUGGGACUGAGACACGGCCCAGACUCCUACGGGAGGCAGCAGUAGGGAAUCUUCGGCAAUGGACGGAAGUCUGACCGAGCAACGCCGCGUGAGUGAAGAAGGUUUUCGGAUCGUAAAGCUCUGUUGUAAGAGAAGAACGAGUGUGAGAGUGGAAAGUUCACACUGUGACGGUAGCUGACCAGAAAGGGACGGCUAACUACGUG